rnacentral:rRNA from 1 species
AGCUCCAAUAGCGUAUAUUAAAGUUGUUGCGGUUAAAACGUUCGUAGUUGAACUUGUGUUCCGCACAGGCAGUACCUACGACUAGGUCACUAGUUCGGUACUUUGUCUUUUCACAUCCGUGGAAAAAGUGCGUGAACGUAUUAUCGGCGUGUUCAUCUUUCGGGAUGUUCACUUAAGCUCAUUUCAGUGCUCUUCAUCGAGUGUUGUUGUGGGCCGAUACAAAUUACUUUGAACAAAUUAGAGUGCUUAAAGCAGGCUUGUAAUGCCUGAAUAUUUUGUGCAUGGAAUAAUGUAAUAGGACAUCUGUUCUACUUUCAUUGGUUUUUUAGAUCAAGAUGUAAUGAUUAAUGGAGGCAAUUGGGGGCAUUAGUAUUACAACGCGAGAGGUGAAAUUCUUAGACCGUAGUAAGACUAACUAAAGCGAAAGCAUUUGCCAAAGGUGUUUUCAU